rnacentral:rRNA from 1 species
UACGUAGGGGGCGAGCGUUGUCCGGAAUGAUUGGGCGUAAAGGGCGUGUAGGCGGCUAUUUGUGUCCGAUGUGAAAGUCCAACUUUCAAGGUUGGAAUUGCAUUAGAAACUGGGUAGCUUGAGUGCAGGAGAGGUUAUCGGAAUUCCCGGUGUAGCGGUGAAAUGCGUAGAGAUCGGGAGGAACAUCAGUGGCGAAGGCGGGUAACUGGACUGUAACUGACGCUGAGACGCGAAAGUGUGGGGAGCAAACAGGAUUAGAUACCCUGGUAGUCCACACCCUAAACGAUGAAUGCUAGGUGUAGGAGGUAUCGACCCCUUCUGCGCCGUCGUGAACACAUUAAGCAUUCCGCCUGGGGAGUACGGUCGCAAGAUUAAAACUCAAAGGAAUUGACGGGGGCCCGCACAAGCAGCGGAGCAUGUGGUUUAAUUCGACGCAACGCGAAGAACCUUACCAGGUCUUGACAUCCAUUUAAAACUUAAGAGAUUAAGUGUGAGCAUGCUCAAAAUGAGACAGGUGGUGCAUGGUU